GGCGCCCGCCGCCGCCGCAUCCCGCUUCGGACCCACGCGUGUGCAUGUAUGUACGUGUGUGAGCGUAUGUGAGUGUGAGUGUGUGCUGCGACCGUGCCUGCGUGCGCACCUCCGCGCCCCCCGCGCCCUGCGGCUGCCUCCGGCUCCGUCUCGCAGCGGCAGUGCCGGCUGCCCGCUCCCGCAGGCGGCUGGUGCCGGAUCGACACGCAGCGAAGGGACCGGUCAUUGCAAGAAGGGGGCGUGACUGUUUAAAGAAGUUGAUGCUCCCGGGACUGGACCCUGCUUUAUCACAGAGGCGCUCCGGGAGGCUGAAGCAGGAGAUUUCCGCACCUCGCCGCACCGCUCCGUCCCUCCCCCGGGCUGGGGAGGCCAACCAGGACCGGCAUCACCAGAGGAGUUUGCAGGCUUGAUUUUCCACUUCUCCGAGGUUUUGCUUUUCUCCACGCCCUCCCAUAAAACAAUUUUUAUUUCCA